rnacentral:tRNA from 1 species
UGCUGACGUGGCGGAACUGGUAUACGCGCAUGCUUGAGGUGCAUGUGCCUUCGGGCUUGGGAGUUCGAGUCUCCCCGUCAGCAU